GUUUGAGUUGGGGUGUUACACUUUGGCAGGUUCUGGACCCCUUUUACAGGGGGUAAAUGUUCGUAAUGUAGGAGAAGUUCUACUGAAUUUUCGACAAAUUUCUUGAGUCUAAAUUAAUUUUAGGUAGUCUAAUCUAAGGGUCUAGGCCUAGAAAAAAAAUUUAAGAAUAUCUAUUAAUUGAGUGUUUUCAUAGAUAGAUAAUCCAUCCUUCCCGCCAGCUCCACCUGAGGCAUAGGAGCAGACUGAGAGACCUGUAACAAUCAACACCAAGAGAUGAAUGAGCCAAAUUGAUAUUUGAAUUGAGCUCCUUCUUAUCCGCCGAACCAGCCAAUCUUAGGCUUAACCGAUAGCUUUCUUCAUGCUACCAGGGUAGGUCAGUUUCUUCCUUAAUCCGUAACGUAACGACUGAGGAGCGCGUCAGAAAUGUGACAGUUAGAAUUCUUCGCCAUCAUGCAUUAUGACAGUCCGAUUUCUUUCUUCAUCGGGCUCGUUGUAAAUAAUCUGUACUUUUAUAUUUUUAGUUAUUUCAUACUCUAGAUCUUGCGCAGUAAAGUACUUUUAAUUUGUUAUGAUUAUUCUAGUCCAUGAUAGACGUGAGAUAUUAUAAAGACCAGUUAGAAUUA